rnacentral:rRNA from 1 species
GCUGAAGACAGCCGGUCCGCCUCUGGUGUGCACCUGGUUCGGCUUUGGCAUUCUGUUGGGGAACGUGUGUGCACUUGAUUGUGUGCCACGGUAUCCAGCAAUUUUACUUUGAGAAAAUUAGAGUGUUUCAAGCAGGCCUUCGCCUUGAAUACUGCAGCAUGGAAUAAUAAGAUAGGACUUUAGUCCUAGCUUGUUGGUUUCUGGGACUGAAGUA